UAGAAAUUUAUUUAAGUUCUUACUGAAGUAAUUGGUUCUGCAAGGACAACAUUAUAAUUGGAGUACUAGUUAGUAGUUACUAUUACUACUAAAAUCGGGAAAAAAAAUGAAAUAUAAUAACAGGAACAGUUUUUUUUUGUUUUUUUGUUUUUUUGUUUUUUAUAUAUAUAUAUAUAUAUAUAUAUAUAUAUACUUUAAUAGAAAAGUUUCUUUUUCAUUUGGAUCCAAACUCCCCCCCAAAAAUUUAAAAGUCCCCAAAACCCAAAUCUUUCCCCCAAAAUUUAGUAACCCUUCCAAAUACUAAUUACCUUCCCACGAAAUAAAAACCUAGAAUCCUAAAUCCCCUUUCACCUCCCCCAAACCCUUUACGUCAGAGGCUUGUCGGCACUACACUAGUGGGGUUUUAUAAAGUGGAGUUCCGAAAGAGAUGAAUUGUACAAUAUGAUUAUUACAUUGGAUCAAAUAUUUGUGGAUGUGAAGAUGCCUCUUUGCCAUUUUUGUUAGAAGUUGAUAUGCAAAAAUUAUAGUCGAGAAGAGAAGUCAUGUGAAGAGGGUGUCGUCAUAGCCUGUAGAGAAUCCAGUUGCUGCUUUGUUUGAAGGCUCGCCAAGUGAUCAUCAAUAAAUUAGUGCAGUAACUAGUCAACAUUAGAAUUUAUUUAUAGUUGGCAGUCUUAGUUUGAUCGGAGAAAAAUUUGUAUUCUUUGGGAACCAUUAUGUAAUGGUGUUAUGAUAUAUUAAAAGAUAUUGUAUGUCGA